rnacentral:rRNA from 1 species
UUGGUGAGGUAAUGGCUCACCAAGACGACGACGGGUAGCCGGCCUGAGAGGGCGACCGGCCNCACUGGGACUGAGACACGGGCCAGACUCCUACGGGAGGCAGCAGUGGGGAAUAUUGCACAAUGGGGGAAACCCUGAUGCAGCGACGCAGCGUGCGGGAUGACGGCCUUCGGGUUGUAAACCGCUUUCAGCAGGGAAGAAGCCUUUAUCGGUGACGGUACCUGCAGAAGAAGUACCGGCUAACUACGUGCCAGCAGCCGCGGUAAUACGUAGGGUACAAGCGUUGUCCGGAAUUAUUGGGCGUAAAGAGCUCGUAGGUGGUUGGUCACGUCUGCUGUGGUAACGCAACGCUUAACGUUGCGCGUGCAGUGGGUACGGGCUGACUAGAGUGCAGUAGGGGAGUCUGGAAUUCCUGGUGUAGCGGUGAAAUGCGCAGAUAUCAGGAGGAACACCGGUGGCGAAGGCGGGACUCUGGGCUGUAACUGACACUGAGGAGCGAAAGCAUGGGGAGCGAACAGGAUUAGAUACCCUGGUAGUCCAUGCCGUAAACGUUGGGCACUAGGUGUGGGGGACAUUCCACGUUCUCCGCGCCGUAGCUAACGCAUUAAGUGCCCCGCCUGGGGAGUACGGUCGCAAGGCUAAAACUCAAAGGAAUUGACGGGGGCCCGCACAAGCGGCGGAGCAUGCGGAUUAAUUCGAUGCAACGCGAAGAACCUUACCAAGGCUUGACAUACACCAGACCGUUCUGGAAACAGUUCCUCCCCUUUGGGGUUGGUGUACAGGUGGUGCAUGGUUGUCGUCAGCUCGUGUCGUGAGAUGUUGGGUUAAGUCCCGCAACGAGCGCAACCCUCGUUCUAUGUUGCCAGCACGUGAUGGUGGGAACUCAUAGGAGACUGCCGGGGUCAACUCGGAGGAAGGUGGGGAUGACGUCAAAUCAUCAUGCCCUUUAUGUCUUGGGCUUCACGCAUGCUACAAUGGCUGGUACAGAGAGAUGCGAGACCGCGAGGUUUUAGCGAAUCCCUUAAAGCCAGUCUCAGUUCGGAUCGUAGUCUGCAAUUCGACUACGUGAAGUCGGAGUCGCUAGAAUCGCAGAUCAG